UCCCUGGUGGCUCAGACGGUAAAGUGUCUGCCUACAAUGUGGGAGACCCAGGUUCGACCCCUGGCUCGGGAA
rnacentral:tRNA from 1 species